rnacentral:rRNA from 1 species
UGAUACCCUAUUAUUUUGUACGUUAAUUAUUUUUCUAGAUUAGUAUUAGCUAUGUUCUUGAAAAUUAAAGAUUUUGGCGGUAUUUUAUUCCACUCAGAGGAACCUGUCCUAUAAUUGAUAUUCCACGAUAAAUUUUACUUAUUUUUUGUUUAUAUAUCGUCGUAAUUUGAAAAUUUUAUAAGAAUUAAAAUUUUCAUGAUUUUUGUUAAAAAAAUAAAUCAGAUCAAGGUGUAGCGUUUAAAUAAGAGAGUGAUGGGUUACAUUAAAUUUAUUUAAAGGGAUUGUUAAUUGAAAUUUAACAUGAAUGAGGAUUUGACAGUAAUUUUGAUUAUUUAAUUAAUAUGAUUUUGGCUCUAGAAUAUGCACAUAUCGC